GACGAACGCUGGCGGCGUGCUUAACACAUGCAAGUCGUGCGGUAAGGCCCUUUCGGGUGUACACGAGCGGCGCACGGGUGUGUAACACGUGUGCAACCUCCCCUACAUUUUGGUAUAACUGCCGGAAACGGUGGCUAAUCACGGACAUGACUUCCUCACGCAUGUGGGGUGGGGGAAGGCCUUCGGGUGGUUGUGGGUGGGCUGGCGGUCCUAUAGCUUGUUGGGGGGGUGAUGGCCAACCAAAGCUUCGGCGGCUAGCCGGCCCGGGCGGGAGGCCGGGCACACUGGGACUGAGGAACGGCCCAGACUCCUACGGGGGGCAACAGGGGGGAAUAUUGGCCAAUGGGGCGAAGCCUGAUCCAGCAGCGCCGGGGGGGGGAAGACGGCCUUCGGGGUGUAAACCUCUUUCGCCUGCGACGAAGCGAGAGUGACGGUAACAGGUAAAGAAGCACCGGCCAACUACGUG
rnacentral:rRNA from 1 species